rnacentral:rRNA from 1 species
ACGCGAGGAACCUUACCAGGUCUUGACAUCCCACUGCCCGGUAUAGAGAUAUACCUUUCCCUUCGGGGACAGUGGUGACAGGUGGUGCAUGGUUGUCGUCAGCUCGUGUCGUGAGAUGUUGGGUUAAGUCCCGCAACGAGCGCAACCCUUGAUCUUAGUUGCCAGCAUUUAGUUGGGCACUCUAAGAUGACUGCCGGUGACAAACCGGAGGAAGGUGGGGAUGACGUCAAAUCAUCAUGCCCCUUAUGACCUGGGCUACACACGUGCUACAAUGGAUGGUACAAAGGGCUGCGAGACUGCGAAGUUAAGCGAAUCCCAUAAAACCAUUCUCAGUUCGGAUUGCAGGCUGCAACUCGCCUGCAUGAAGCUGGAAUCGCUAGUAAUCGCGGAUCAGCAUGCCGCGGUGAAUACGUUCCCGGGCCUUGCACACACCGCCCGU